GACAGGUGGUGCAUUGGUUGUCGUCAGCUCGUGUCGUGAGAUGUUGGGUUAAGUCCCGCAACGAGCGCAACCCCUAUUGCUAGUUACCAUCAUUAAGUUGGGGACUCUAGCGAGACUGCCAGUGAUAAACUGGAGAAGUGGGAUGACGUCAAAUCAUCAUGCCCCUUAUGACCUGGGCUACAAACGUGAUACAAUGGCAGGUACAGAGGGCUGCGAAGCCGCGAGGUGGAGCGAAUCCCAGAAAAACCUGUCUCAGUCCGGAUUGAAGUCUGCAACUCGACUCUAUGAAGUUGGAAUCGCUAGUAAUCGCGGAUCAGCACGCCGCGGUCGAAUACGUUCCCGGGCCUU
rnacentral:rRNA from 1 species